AGUGAACGCUGGCGGUAGGCCUAACACAUGCAAGUCGAACGGCAGCACAGUAAGAGCUUGCUCUUACGGGUGGCGAGUGGCGGACGGGUGAGGAAUACAUCGGACUCUACUUUUUCGUGGGGGAUAACGUAGGGAAACUUACGCUAAUACCGCAUACGACCUACGGGUGAAAGCAUGGGAUCUUCGGACCUUGCGCGAUUGAAUGAGCCGAUGUCGGAUUAGCUAGUUGGCGGGGUAAAGGCCCACCAAGGCGACGAUCCGUAGCUGGUCUGAGAGGAUGAUCAGACACACUGGAAGUGAGACACGGUCAAGACUCCUAAGGGAGGCAGAAGUGGGGAAUAUUGGACAAUGGGCGCAAGCCUGAUCCAGUCAUACCGCGUGGGUGAAGAAGGCCUUCGGGGUGUAAAGCCCUUUUGUUGGGAAAGAAAAGCAGAAGGUUAAUACCACGCUGUUCUGACGGUACCCAAAGAAUAAGCACCGGCUAACUUCGUG
rnacentral:rRNA from 1 species